AUGUAUGGGGACAGCUGCCCAGCGAUGAAAAUGACUAUCUUUCUCUUGCUUCUUCUAUUAGAUGACCCUGAGAUAGAAGCACAACAGUGGACGGAGGUGAAUGGACAAGUAUACGGACACGUUCUGCUGAGAUUUAUCUUUCCUCCCUUCUACAAUGGUUAUGAGAAGUUAUGUUCUAAACUAUAUCCUGGGCCAUUUCCUGUUGUGAAUACCAGAGGAUAUGUCAACAACUUCUACAAGGGACGAAUAUCGAGAACGGAAUACAACGGUGAGAUGUACGUUAUGAUAUGGAAUUUAAAACCUGUGGACGCUGGCGACUACAGGUGUGUUGUCAGCAGUGUGAAUCAUAUCUACUCUGACUUUCACCUCCAGAUUGAUAGUGGUCGACGUAGAGGUCCUGUACCCCCUCGACCUCGUGUCAGAUCAACCAUCAGACCCUCCAUCUCCUCAUCAUCAUCAGACACCUCUGUGCCUUUUUUCCCCAGUAUUUCCCGGAGUGUUGGUGUACCACUGGCUGCAGGUCUCUGCAUCUCAAUGGGGAUCGUUAUCUGUUCAAUCAUAGUUGCUGUGGUUCAUCGCAAAGUCAGGGCAAAAAAGAAAUGUGGAGCAACUUCCAGUGACUCAGCAGCCCACGUCCUCUCACACGUCCCUCAAAAGGAGAGCAGUAUUGUCUACGCCACAGUGGACUUCAAACCUCAGGAGAACCAUACCACAGAGCUGUAUGCUAACCUACAGACACUCAGCAGCCCCAGAGGUCAUGACCCUGACACACACAGAGAGCCUGCUGGGACGGUGGUGUACUCCACGCUGGCUAGCAACCAACGCUGAACCAGAAUGUUACGUAUCUGUAUCUUUCUUAGCCUGGUGGUCACAGAUCUGUUUGUGCUGUCUUGAUAUGCUAUCAUGACCAGGCUAUCUGUAUAAUCCUUAGUUGCUACAUAUUUUUUUUAAAUUAAUGAUAUAUACUUAGAAAUGCCUCAUGAGCUUAGUUCAUCUGUCGUACCCCCAUCAGAACCCAAAAUAUAAGCUUGUUUUACUCCAAUGUUUAUAAACAAAGUAAAUGUAAUCAAACACAUUAUAGCCUCAACACAUGGUUAAAACUAUAGUGUUGAUAUCAUGGAUGGUCAGUUCUUUUAUCCAUAGCUCUGUCUAGGAUUUAGACACGCCCAUCCUUCCGCUUCUUACCAAAACAGAGGCGGGGUGCCACUUUGUUUCAACUUUGGUUUCUAGCUUUAAGAUGAUUGAUUUGUUUAUAUUCUUUUGACUUAUGAACUAUACAAAUAAAAUAACUACCCAUUCAUAUACGAGAUUGUUGUCUCUGGGCCUACCUGCCUCCACCAUGUUUGGGUCUAUGUCUCUGGGUUCUACCUGCCUCCACCAUGUUUGGGUCUAUGUCUCUGGGCCUAACUGCCUCCACCAUGUUUGGGUCUAUGUCUCUGGGUUCUACCUGCCUCCACUAUGUUCGGGUCUAUGUCUCUGGGUUCUACCUGCCUCCACUAUGUUUGAGUCUAUGACUUGGGCCACCUGCCUCCACCAUGUUUGGGUCUAUGUCUCUGGGUCUACCUGCCUCCACCAUGUUUGGGUCUAUGUCUCUGGGCCUACCUGCC
ensembl:lncRNA